UGGGGAAUUUUGGACAAUGGGCGAAAGCCUGAUCCAGCAAUGCCGCGUGUGUGAAGAAGGCCUUCGGGUUGUAAAGCACUUUUGUCCGGAAAGAAAUCCUCUGGGUUAAUACCUCGGGGGGAUGACGGUACCGGAAGAAUAAGCACCGGCUAACUACGUGCCAGCAGCCGCGGUAAUACGUAGGGUGCAAGCGUUAAUCGGAAUUACUGGGCGUAAAGCGUGCGCAGGCGGUUUUGUAAGACGGAUGUGAAAUCCCCGGGCUUAACCUGGGAACUGCAUUCGUGACUGCAAGGCUAGAGUAUGGCAGAGGGGGGUUAGAAUUCCACGUGUAGCAGUGAAAUGCGUAGAGAUGUGGAGGAAUACCGAUGGCGAAGGCAGCCCCCUGGGCCAAUACUGACGCUCAUGCACGAAAGCGUGGGGAGCAAACAGGAUUAGAUACCCUGGUAGUCCACGCCCUAAACGAUGUCAACUAGUUGUUGGGGAUUCAUUUCCUUAGUAACGUAGCUAACGCGUGAAGUUGACCGCCUGGGGAGUACGGUCGCAAGAUUAAAACUCAAAGGAAUUGACGGGGUCAUAGCUGUUUCC
rnacentral:rRNA from 1 species